rnacentral:rRNA from 1 species
GACUACACGAAGCUGGAAUCGCUAGUAAUCGCGAAUCAGAAUGUCGCGGUGAAUACGUUCCCGGGUCUUGUACACACCGCCCGUCACACCAUGGGAGUCGGGAAUGCCCGAAGUCAGUGACCCAACCUAUAGGAGGGAGCUGCCGAAGGCAGGUCUGAUAACUGGGGUGAAGUCGUAACAAGGUACC